rnacentral:rRNA from 1 species
AUAACCGCUGAAAGCAUCUAAGUGGGAAGCCCCCCCCAAGAUGAGUACUCCCAGACAUCAGUCUCGGAAGGGCCGUGCGAGACUAGCACGUUGAUAGGCGGCAAGUGGAAGCGUGGAGACACGUGUAGCUGAGCCGUACUAAUGGCCCGAGAGGCUUGACCA